GAUCCUGGCUCAGGAUGAACGCUAGCUACAGGCUUAACACAUGCAAGUCGAGGGGCAGCAUUUUAGUUUGCUUGCAAACUGAAGAUGGCGACCGGCGCACGGGUGAGUAACACGUAUCCAACCUGCCGAUAACUCUGGAAUAGCCUUUCGAAAGAAAGAUUAAUACCGGAUGGCAUACGAAUAUCGCAUGAUAUUUUUAUUAAAGAAUUUCGGUUAUCGAUGGGGAUGCGUUCCAUUUAGG
rnacentral:rRNA from 1 species